AAGCAGACCGGGUCACACGCGGGACCGAAGCAGACCGGGACACACGCAGGUCCGAAGCAGACCGGGACACACGCGGGUCCGAAGCAGACCGGGACACACGCGGGUCUGAAGCAGACCGGCCCGACGCCAGGCACAGGACAGGGACUCCCGGCAGGUGACCAGGGAACAAACGCUGCCUGUUCCCGACUGACCGCACUUCCGCCUCCUCCCCUCCCAUUCAAUCCCGGCGCUGCCGGUUCCCUCCAUCUCCAUGGCAUGCGGGCUCCAAAUUACUUUUACCUCGGUGAGGGAAGCAGGCUGGAGGAAGCAUGUGAUCACACGAGCAGCAGGAUUCUACUUUGUGAGCAGCAGUUCCAGUGUCGGGCAAGAGGCUGGUAGAGCUGCAGAACUGCCGGAGCCUACAUUCCUGCGGAUCCAGAUGAAGGUACCACGCACCCAGGCUCCGUUAGUCACAU